ensembl:lncRNA
CAGGAAAGAGGGGGAACGAUUGCUAUUUGACUCUGUCCUUUGCAGCCAAAAUGUAACAACCAGAAAAUUUUAAAUUACAAGCACUGCAUAUGCAUGUGUGCAUGCUCAGCUGUGUCCGACUCUUUGCGACCCCAUGGACUGUAGCCCACCAGGCGCCUCUGUCUAUAGGAUUUUCCAGGCAAGAAUGCUGGAGUGGGUUGCCAUUUCCUUCUCCAGGGGAUCUUCCCAACCCAGGGGUCAAACCUGAGUCUCUUGAGUCUCCUGCAUUGACAGGUGAAAAACUGAGACCCAGAGACAGAGACUUUGUCAGGGAUCCUGCUACCACUGUCUUCAUCACCAGCAGUUCCCUCCUAAGUGGAAUUCCAUGGAGAGAAAGAUGGUUUACCCCCUCUGGAGCCAGGAAGAAAUCUGGGGCCUCUCUUCUCCUAGCCCAUU